AAUAGAUACCCAGGUAGUCCACGCCGUAAACGAUGGAUACUAGCUGUUGGAGGUAUCGACCCCUUCAGUAGCGAAGCUAACGCGUUAAGUAUCCCGCCUGUGGAGUACGGUCGCAAGACUAAAACAUAAAGGAAUUGACGGGGGACCCGCACAAGCGGUGGAUCGUGUUCUUUAAUUCGAUGCUAAACGGAGAACCUUACCAGGGUUUGACAUCCUUGGAAUUUCUGCGAAAGUAGAAAGUGCUUUAUUGAACCAAGUGACAGGUGAUGCAUGGCCGUCGUCAGCUCGUGUCGUGAGAUGUUUGGUUAAGUCCAUCAACGAGCGCAACCCUUGUGAAUAGUUGGAUUUUUCUAUUCAGACUGCCCCGGUAACGGGGAGGAAGGAGGGGAUGAUGUCAGGUCAGUAUUCCCUUACAUCCUGGGCUAGAAACACGAUACAAUGGCUAGUACAAUGCGGAGCGAAGUCGCGAGAUGGAGCAAAUCGCAUCAAAGCUAGUCCCAGUUCGGAUUGGAGGCUGAAACUCGCUCCAUG
rnacentral:rRNA from 1 species